ACACGUAGGAGGCAAGCGUUAUCCGGAUUUACUGGGCGUAAAGCGCGUGCAGGCGGUCUGGUAAGUUGGAUGUGAAAGCUCCCGGCUCAACUGGGAGAGGUCGUUCAAAACUGCCGGACUAGAGGACGGUAGAGGGAGGUGGAAUUCCCGGUGUAGUGGUGAAAUGCGUAGAUAUCGGGAGGAACACCAGUGGCGAAGGCGGCCUCCUGGGCCGUUCCUGACGCUAAGACGCGAAAGCGUGGGGAGCGAACGGGAUUAGAAACCCUGGUAGUCC
rnacentral:rRNA from 1 species